GGCCGGUUGGCCCAAUGGUAAGGCGUCUGACUACGAUUCCAGCUUCUGAAGUUUGUAGUUAAUCAGGAGAUUCUGGGUUCGAGCCCCAGGCUGGUCA
rnacentral:tRNA from 1 species